AUUGCAAAAAAUAAAAGUCAAUACAUGACUGCUCGUAUUUUUGGUUUCCACAUAAACGCUAUUUGUUUCAAUUUGUUUUGCUGUAUAUAAUUGUGAAAAAAUGAAGUGCUGUUUGCUGUUCUGUUAAAAUCGAACAACACGAAAUUUCAAAAACAUAAGCUUUUUUUGAUUCCCCACCGAUAAAAAUCAUCGCCGAAAAUGACUUGAGUUUUGUGAGUUACCUGAGGAUUUUUUAAUAACAGGAACGACACGUCUUUGUAGCUUCCACUUUAAUCACGACGAUUUAUACCUCGCGUCGGAGAAUGGAAAAGUACUAAAAGUUAACGGGGCCGUUCCAGUUUUUAAGUUUGUGGCUCAAGUGGCAAGUAAGACACCGGAAAAUAUGUCGAUUGAUUACGGUCACUCCGAUCAAGCUACCCGUUCGUUCGAAAUUCCCUGUAUCACCAACAGCCGCAGUAACUCAGAGCCUCAUCCAGUUGUCAAGAAUGAGGAAAAACAUAGGAAUCUUCAAUCUACUUCUAUUAUGACCAAAAGACUACAAAACGAAAACAACAUUUUGAAAAAACAUGUUGAAUGUGUACUCAAACAUGAGAACAAGCGUUUAUAAGUAGAUACGCUCGAAAGUAUGUUUAACGAAGAUCAGAUUAAAAUAGCCACCGGAAAGAUUAUUCGACCUAAAAAGUGGUCUACCGAAACAAUAGUGACAGCCAUAAAAACUAAACUUGCUUGUGGAUCUCGCGGAUAUGAACAUCAGCGUGAAGCAUAUCCCCUUCCAUCACAGAGAACGAUUCGAUUCGCUAUCUAUAUUUUAUCAGUUGUAAUCGAGAAAGUCUCUCUGCGAGAGCUUUGUGCGCUUGCUCUUCACAAUACAAGCUUUCUGAUGUUGCGUGUUUGGUUUUCUUUACACAGUGUGCAUUUGCUUCCAGCUUCUGUGUGUUCCAUGCUUUUGUGUUCUGUGCAAAUUAUAUGAGCCUCUUUGUUACACACGAUGAGUAUGCCAAGACUGCAGGUGACAGCAUCGAAUCAGGCUUACUAAAAUCUGUUAGCACGGAUAUAGUACGCAAAAUAGAAUCAAUUGGUCUUAAUGCCAUUGUAACAGAUUGUGACGGUGGUAAUAAAAGGCUGUGGAAUGAUAUGCAGCUCCUUCAUCAGAAGUGGAACGUUUUGAAAAAUGUAGCCCUCGCUCAUCCAUGUAAUGUCAGAAGAAACUUAGAGGUUAUUCCAGAUGCCGUACAUGUUUUCAAAAGUGCAGUUCAAGGGUGGAUCACCAAUAAAUAUAUAUUGAUUCCCGAAGAUGUUGUGAGGCGGGAAAAUGUAACGUUUGCAUUUGCGGAUAUCAACCACAUUCGUGAGCUGGUUUUUUAUGAGGAUGGACGUGAAUUACGGCUGGCCUCCGGAUUAACUAAAAAUGAUGUCGACUUUAGCAAAAUGAAUGUUUUUAAUUCAUUCAAAUAUGUAAAUCUACAAGUUGUUGCCGCACUCCGGCUAUUC